AACGAACGCUGGCGGCAUGCCUAACACAUGCAAGUCGAACGAGACCUUCGGGUCUAGUGGCGCACGGGGGCGUAACGCGUGGGAACCUGCCCUUAGGUUCGGAAUAACUCCCCGAAAGGGGUGCUAAUACCGGAUAAUGUACUCGGAACAAAGAUUUAGCGCCUUUGGUUGGGCCGGCGUUGGUUUAGCUAGUUGGGAGGGUAAAAGCCUAUGAGGGCGUCGAUCCUUAGCUGGUUUGAGAGGAUGAGCAGCGACACUGGGACUGGGACACGGUCGAGAAUCUUACGCAAGGGGGGAGAGGGGGAUACUGGCCAAUGGGGGAAGGCCUGAAGCAGCUCUGCCGCGUAAGUGAUGAAGGCCUUAGGGUAGUGAAGCUCUUUUAUCCGGGGUGAUAAUGACGGUACCGAGAGAAUAAGCACCGGCUAACUUCGUG
rnacentral:rRNA from 1 species